CUUUUAUCACUAUUCACAUCUUCCUGAAAUUUAAAGCCUGGAAAGAAUGUAUGUUUUAACAACAAACAUCCUUCCAUCUCCAGGUGCAGAGGAGAGUGUCCAGGAAUGCUCAAGGCUAAGUGGUUUUGGAUCUGCAGUUUUAUUGCUUUGGAAACAAGGAACUGACCGUUAUUUAAGGGAAUCAUCGGCAAGAAGUUGUCUUUGGUUCCUACUAUGCAAAAAGACAUGGUGUAACUCUGGGCAAGUUACCAGGAACCUGUCACCUGAGUAGAAUGUGAGGAAGAGAAGGGAAGCCAUUCAGUGAUUUCUAUCAUAUCACUCAGUGAUGGACAGUAAUUCAAAAUUUUCAAAAUCUAGAAUAGUUAUGAGCAGGACCACUCACAGCUUUUUCCUCAGCUUUUGUGCAAUUUCACAGUUUACUGAAAUUACUACAGGUGUGUAAAAGAGUCAGCCUGAAAGGAAUCAAGCAUUACAACACCCGCCUAUGUCAGAGCUGCUGUACUGAUUUACUCCUGCUGAGUUAAUGGCUUGUUUCUUUGUGAGUAAAUUGCUCAUUGCCUUUAUCUUAGAAGUUGUUGCUGUGGAAUGACCUGUGAUGUAAGAGUGAGUUGGAUUUUCUUUCUUUUUUUCUGCAUUUUAAAGAGGCCAAUAGGAGUAAUUAUUUCUAUAACCGACUUUGUUUUUUCUGAAACAAAAGCUAAAUACAUAUUGGUCCUGUCUGAAAGUAUUUCUUCUUUAUUCUUCUCUUAAAGUGAUUACUUUGCUGAAUACAGACAAUAGUAUGAAAUUCACAUUUACAUCUGUCUCUGAAUGUUAUUCUGAUUUUGUAGGUCUCCAGUGAUCUUCUUUUACAUAAUUUCUGUGUUCCAUUGCUCUGAGGACUAAAAAUUUUAAGCAGCAUGAACAAUUGAUUACAAAUAGAGGCUGGAAUUCUACCAGCUGUGGUGGAAAUAAUAGAGCUAUUUGAAAAUUAUAUGUUAGAAUGAGUUAUGUUUAUUGAAAGUAAGAAUAUUUGUUAGUUCUUGUGAGCAAUGCCUAUCACUGACUUGGGAGGAAAAAAAAAACGCACCUAAUUAGAUAAGAUUAAAUCCAGUUACUAUUACUGUCUCUCAUGUUUUUACCACCUCUGUUACAUUUUGUCUAUGGAAAUGGCAGAGUUAGAGUUUGGCACAUUGGAGUGUGUGAUGACAUCUGUACAGGAAAGUGAAAUGUAAGAGUGAGUCAAGGGAGCAGGAAACUACCUGACAUGGCUCUUACACUAAUAGAUGCAAUCUUAAUUCUUUCAGAAGUUUUGCUGUUUGGGGCUUUCUGUUUUUGUAGUUGUCUCGUGUGUCCAAUGCAGUGUGUACUUUGAAGGAGCAGAAAUGCCCGGUAAGGAGGAAACAGGUUGAAUGGAAAUGGAUGAAAACGAUAAUCUAAAGUCAAACCAGUGACCAUUCAUAAGUAUUACAAUUAGGAGAACCAUCUCUUGUUUACAGAUCUAGUUGAAACUCUGAUUCAUAACAGAAAAAUUAAUUUCCAUAUUUCUUUGAGAUGUAUUGCUUAAAACCAGAGUAACUCCAUCAUAGUUCUGAAAUACCUUGUUUUUUGAAUUAAUCACCACAAGCCUAAUGUUCUUAGAGAACUUAAAUGCCUAAAUUUACAUUUUAUUUAGGUUUGGAAAGAGUCUGUACUUAACCAGAUCUAUGAAUUACAGUACGUUAAUUUGUAUUUAUAAAUCUCAUUGCCAUAGAAAGCUUAUUAUAACAGGAGAAAUGCAUACAGUACCAGUACCAACCUUCUUCCAUUUCUCAUAUGUUUUGAGAAAAAAGCACAUUUGACAAUACUUUAUGUUUUUAGGUAAUAUAUAUGGUAGAUUUAUUAAGAUGAAGAACUCUUUUGAGUGUAGAAGGUGGCUCUGACAUGUAAUAAAAAAAUAGAAUAUCAUAGAAAAUAACACACCAAAAUUCAACUUUGAAAAGAGCUUUAGUGAGAAAGUAAUAUCAAAUAAGUAAAGGAAUGCAUAUAUAGCCUGCCUUCUGAAUGAUAUAAUCAUAUGGAAUACUGCACCUUCAUCAGAAAUUCUUCUUUGACCUUGGCUGAAAAGCAAUAAAUGAAAAUGAGUAGCGUACCUAUGUGCCGGUAAUGAUUUCAUGCACUUACAUAGAAUGCUGAUAAGCUGAUGGCCUGAAUCCUAUAGCAGACAUGGUAGGUCAGAGCAAACCCAGUAACCUAUUUUCUGAGCUUUAUUGCUCAUUUUUCAGACUGAUAGUAGCUCUUAGAACAUGGAAAGGAAAUUACUGUUUUUCUGAUAAUCUCUUUUUGGUACAUUUCAUCAGUACUUACUUCAGACUCUAUUUUCAGUCCAUCACUUGUCUACUCUCAGUACGUUCUCAGGAUUUCUUAAAUUAAGGAGCCUAUGGUUUAUGUGAGUCUGCCUGCUUCAUCAUCAGAUGUUACAUUUUUCCCCAUUAAAGCCUUUUGAAACUCUUGAUUUCUAGCCAAAUAUGUGACAGUAAAAUCAGAGUGAUGCUUCAAUGCCAUUUCAGGAAAAUCAGUUAAUUAGAUUCCCUUAGGGCCCCAAAGAAAAGCCUCUUAUCUUUUGUCAGUUUAAUUUCUACUACAUCCGUUUGUGUUGGUGCUUUGUGAAAGAAUACUUCCAUUCCAUUGCUUCCUUAAUUUACUUUUUUCUUCCUUUUAGGUAGUUCAUUAGAUUCUUAAGAAUUUAUUUUAAUAUUUGUAACAGACCAGUGGCCUGAUUUGGAUCUGGAAGCAAGAUUUUUAAAAAUCUUACAUCUUUGCAUACUUCCCCUUUUCUUAUGUUUGUGACGCUUGCCAUGUAGGGGGCAGAUGUAGGGCAAACAUGUCCCGUGAAAGUGUUAUUGAAAAGAAAUUGAAAUUAAUAUGAAAGAGAGGGCAUAAAGCCUCUUCUCACUUUUCCCUUCAACCUUCUUUCAGUCUGCUUUAACAGCAGAACAGGUUGCAAAGAAAAUUUGGAAGAAGAAAGGGAAAUGUGAAAGGACUGGGUGGUGAAGAAAGAGAAAAGUAUGUGUGUAGAAUAGUAAUUAGCUUGUUUAUAGUUACCUUUUUUGAUCAUGCUAGCUGUCAGUGUUACCUCAAACACUGAGAUGCUAAAAUGACAGAUCUCCAUAUUUUCAGAAUCAUAUGUGAAAGGUUAAUUUUGUGCUCCUGUUAUUCAGCUAUGAAUUCUGGUUCUGCUCCCACUAAUAUCUCUGAUGGUUUUAUUCUUUAAUUAAUAGGAAGUGGUUUGGGAAUUCCAAUUAGGCAUUCUGAGAGGGUCAAAUGUAUGAUUCUCUGUGCUCCAUGUGCCAAUAACAUUCUGGAACAGUCUUGUCAUUGACAAGAAUCUCUAACACUCACAAACACGUCAUGAUUGUGGAGCAAUAUCAUGAAAAUGGUGAGAAGUGAAAAAGAAGGAUUAAAACUGACACAGAGAAAAAGUCAGGCUUGUGUCUUCUGUGUCCUUGUUCUGUCACUCCUUGCAGAGUCCCCUGGUGCUGUCAUUCUGUGGCCCAGUUCCAUGUCCAGUCAGAAGGUAAACGAGGGCAGCAGUCGGACAGUGUUGAGCUCAUUUCAGAGAUAGUUGUGACAGGAAGUUUGUGCAAGAAUCUAGAAUAGUGGGCAAUAGAAGAGAAGGAAGUUAUGAGUGUUAGCAACUACUGUCAUCUACAGUGAUGUGAAAUUCAGCUUUCAAAGACACAGUUUCUCUUCCUGCUAUUCAUACAGGUGUUUCCAGUUUAAAUGAAAUGGCCAUUUGCUGAAAAUUGAUACUGUAAAAUUGAGUGUAAUAGUGGCUUUAAAAAUAUGGAAGACGAGUUAAUGAAGUUGAACUAUUCCGUCUGUUCUUUCCCAGUCUCUGUACUUAGUACAGAAGUGCUUAUCUCUGGCUCCGCCUGAGCUGGGAAGUGUGUGGCAUUGAAUGAUAUGGUGAUUUUACAGAUGGAUAUACAAGUAAUAUUUGUAGUUACUUAUCAAGUAUGCUGUGGUCAUGAAUAAAGAAGUACAUAGUUAAACUCCAUUAUUAGCCUUUAUACCAAUAAUUUCUGUCUGUCUUUCUGCUAUUAAAAAAAAAAAAAGAAAAAAAAAGAUAUGCAUAAUAUACCUUUUAGGUAUGGGAGUGGAUAAAUUUUCCAUAUCAAGAAAAGUAAUUAUGGGACACGGGUGUGAAUCUAUUUCUCUUUCAGUUUUGAGAUGCACUCAUGUAUGAAAGAGAAAGACAUGGCACAAAUGAAAAUGGGCUUAGAGGUUUUGCUGGUUUGUUGUUUGUUUGUCAGUCUUUAAAUGGCUGUAACAAAAGGAUCAGGAGCCCUCAAAAGCCGUGUAGAAAAUUGCUGUCUAAAAUGUUGCAGGACAGCAAAGACUCGGAAAAAAAUUCAGCCAAGUGGAGAAUAAACUAAUACACCUUGAGGUACUCAAAAAUAUAUCAGCUGAAGAAGUAAACAGAGUAAGGACUCCCCUGCUUUGCUUUCCAUCCCUCAGCUCACAAAGCACAGACUAAACUUACUCGUCUGAAUUUCACUAUAAUAAAAUUUGCAGUCCUCACACUGCAGUACACUGAAAGAAUUCCCAGCCUUCAUUCUGCUUUGCUGUUAAUAGUUUCAUUAUAUCUCAACUCUCUGUGCUCCCAUUAUAUAUGAUGGAACAAAACCAUUGACUCCUUCAUAUCUUUGUGAACAUGUGACUUUCCACCAGUGAAGAGCUCUGUAUGUGGCUUUACAACUGUGAGAGCUCUCAGGAGUUCUCAAGGUCCAUUGAGCUCAAUAGCCCACAGCUGCCUUGAGUAGGCACAGUAAGUGGAUAAGUAAAUUCCUGCGUGUCAGUUAAAAAAGAAUGGGUUCAGAAAGUGUGAAUUCUCCAACACAGAAUCAAAGAAAAAUGGGCUGAAAAGGAUCUCACGAGAUCCUCGUCUAGUUCUGAAUAUUUCUGAAAUGAACUGCCAACAACUGUGCUGCUAUAUGAAUACAGCAGAACAGCACUGUGUUGACCAACACCUUGAUGUAAAGAAUAACCAAUCCCAUACAAGAGGGGAACGGAUAUUUGCUCUGUUUUUUCCUGUGCUUCCAUGGCAACAUGACUUCAGGUACAGCUAUCCUCUUUCUCUGACACUGAACAAAAUAUAUUUAUGCUCCUUGGCUCACUAAGAUCCUGCUCUGUCCGUGCCUUCACCGCACAGACUCCUGUUGUUCAGGCUCUCUUGAUCUCCGUGUUUCCAGCUCAGUGGCUGGAGUAGCUUACACUGCUUGCUCUUUGCCUCUACUCAUUCACAGAGCUUAGCAGGGGUCUUGUUUUGUGACAAGGUGUUUCUGGAAGCAAUUGUAGGUAACCGUAGGAGUAGUUUCAUGCUAUGGAUGUGGGAAAUCCAUCUCAUUUUUCUCCCAGAUUAGUACAAUCAUGGCUAAGACACUACUAUUGCUUCAGAGUCUGAAAUUUAUCAAUGUCUUGUGGAAAUUUUAUUACAAGGAUCAAAAGCAGUGAGAGCAAAACACCAAAAUCCUGUUGAGUUCAGAAUAAUUGUUAGAAGAUCCGGGGUGGUGGUGGAGUCACCAUCCGUUGAGGUGUUCAAGAGCCAUGUGGAUAUGGCACUGAGGGACAUAGUUAGUGGGCACGGUAUGAUGGGUUGAUGGUUGUACUUGAUGAUCUUUAAGGCCUUUUCCAACCUUAAUGAUUCUAUGAUUCUAAGCCAAACCUGGUGCUGUACUCCUCCCUAAACUGUGAGAGUUUCAGUAUGAACUGCUGAGGGCUUCAUGUGAGUGCAUGAUGUCAUCUCUCCUGACUUGUAUGGUGCCCUUACCCCUCACCUUGUCAGGUGGUCAUAGGGCAGAGUCCCUGCUUAAUAUGGGCCAUCAAGACACUAGUGACUUCCAUGUUUUAUCUAUGGCCUUUCCUAAAGAAGUAACUAUACUCAAAAGAAGACCUGCAAACAAGUAAGUAGAGAGGUUGGCAGGAGUUAUUGGGUGGUCUCUGUCCAUCUUCUGCUCUCAAUUCCUGAAUCAGUUUGAGUACCCAUGAGGCAUUUUUAACUCAUAAGUAUAGCAAAACUCUUGCCUCUCACUCCAUGCACUUUGAUCCUAUUCAGUAAUCAAAUAUGCUUUGGAAUAUAUUUAUAGAUAGUAUUCUUAAGGAGGAUGUCCUCAAAACCACUUAUAAAAUAGUAUUACAAAAUAAUCUUUUUAGAUUGAUUGUAUGACAUAUUUUUGUGUACACGUAGGUCUUUAUCUUUCUUACAGAUUUCUCUAAUGAAAAUAAUGCAUGAAAAAGCAAGAGGCGUUUCUGCUGAUGUACCAACAUUCUACUUCACACCAGUUUUUUUGUUUGUUUGUUUGUUUUAAUGAAAAUCCCUCAUAGGAUGCCAAUAGCAUGUUUGAGAGUCAAGAAGGACCUGAUACUUCGCUGCUUGAAUUCUUUGCUUGAAGAGGAGCAUCAGCAGUACAUACAUGUCCUUGUGUAGGUCAAAUAUCACUAUUUCUGAAUAUGCUGCUGAGAACUUGUUGUAAACACUGCAAAAUAAUGAUGUGAGUAUACAGUAGGCUUUGAAUCAACCUGUUUGAGAACUCUGAAAUCUGGAGUAUUAGCACAGUUCAUCUGUUUUAAAGCAGGCUGCUAUGGGUUUUCUACAAAUCACAACUGUGUUCUGACUGGAAAGUGUUUUGUUCGAAUGCUACUGUAUAUAUCUGACUCUACUCUGCUUUUUAUGGCAUUUGCUAUGGUCAUCUGAUAAAAUGUUAAAACGUACUAUAUAUACUAUCAUUUGUACUGUAAUCCAUGGACUCUUACAUGGCUUUUUUAGCCUCAGGGACAAGAUUUUUUGAUGCCUUGACUGGGUCUUUUAAUGUGAGGAUUAUGCUUUUAGAACUGAAACGUGGCAAGUAGAAAAGAGCAAUUCAUAUUUAGAGCAAUUAUAACGUUUAUUUUCUAGUCUCCAGAGGCAAUGUGAUUUAGGCAUAUUAAAGCUGAGUAUUUCAUAAUUAGGUAACCAGAUUAGAUUGGAGGCUUUAAUUUUAUUUUUUUUUAUUUUUUUUUCACAGCGACUGGAAACUUUCAUUGUGGAUUAAUGGAAUUUAGUCAGGUUUUUAAUCUAAUGACUGGAAAUUACACCUUUUAUUAUCUUACUAUGAAACUUUUUUUUCUGUGGCAUGAACACGACAUCAGCUUAGUUGAAAAUUAUCUUCAUGGUGUGGGUUAAACUCAUGGAAUAAAAAGGGAAUGAUUGUAUUUGUAUUUAAUUUUAUUAUCCUGUGCCUGAAUAUACAGAAGUUUUCCUUAUUUACUCAAAAUUUGUUCAAUUCAUAUACUACUUUAUUAUUUAUGAAGAUAAUGUUCAUGUUUUUUGAUGUCUUUUUGUGGAUCAGAAGUCAAAGAUACGAUCUUUGAUGUGAAGAGUCUCAGGGAAUGUGAGGGUUUAUGUUAACAGAGAAGCUGUGCUACUUCAAUUUAAAUCAUGGUUGACAGCAUCGAACAUCCAGGUGCAAGAUAAUCUGAUAAGGCAAAAUGAAACUGAUGUGCAAUUAGGGCAAUCACAUACCCUGGUUUUCAGUUUUUCUUUCAUUAUCCAGCAGCUUUUUGAAUCUGUGCUUUAAGUCUUUGUGCAUACUAUGGGUCCUUUUAGCCAUUAACACAGAGCAGCCCAUUCAGAGGCUUCUUGCCUUACGCAGAGCAAUUGUUGAACUGUACUCUUUUGUUGCAAUGGUAUGACUGUAUUUGUAGAUAAAGCUGUAGGAGUCAGAGGUGAGCACACAGCGAGUUGGAGUAUGAAUGGGUAAGAGACCUGUUCUCUAUACAGCACAGGAUACUGCUAGUGAACUUGCUGAUCCCGCAGCAAAUACAAAGUUGCUUGCCUUUGUAAGAAUUGCUUUGUUUAAAGGCUGUGUAAGUCAGUAGAGUACACUGCUCUCAUACAGAUUUCUAUCACCUAAAUUCAAUAUGUAUAUCUUUUAUUACUACUGGUAGUAAACUGUGAGCCUUUGUGAUUCCAUGUAAAAAGUGUUAUAUUCUGCCUUUUCUCUGCAGUCAGGAAAUGUGCUCCCGUAUAUUUUUUUCAUCUGUUCUCAUCUAUUUUGACUGCACUGAGUCACUGAGAUAUCUCUUCCUCCUGCUUGAUAGUGGACUGAAGAGAAUAUAUUUUUAUUAUAUAUUAUGAUUUUUUUUUUUAUAACGGUAGGCUGUGAUGACAUGAAUUUGGAGUGGUAUUAUGCAUCUGGUUAUGAGAACAGUCCUAUUCAGAUACAUAUGUCUUCCAUAAUGAUAACUAGGGGAAAAAAAGAAACACUGCUGAUUUGUAGAUCAUGAGAAAUAAUGUAGGAAAAUAGUAUAGCAAUGAGGCUUUAUCAGUUAUAGAUCUAUACCAUUACAUUCAGAUUUGCUUACAAUUAUUCCUCCUACGAGGCAGAAGAACAUAAAGAAAAAAUUAAAUGUUAAGUGCUGUGAUUGAUAUCAUAGAAUCAUAGAAUGGUCUGGGUUGAAAAGGACCAUAAUGAUCAUCUAGUUUCAACCCCCCUGCCAUGUGUAGGGCUGCCAACCAGUAGACCAGGCUGCCUAGAGAUCCCAUUCAUGGAUCUCUGCCCUGAAGAUAAUGGAAGGGGGAAGGGGAAAGGGAAAGAAAAAAAAUGGGAAAAUUCAGACCAAAAUUGUGCUAAGCAUAUCAAGCAAGCCCAAACAAUCAAAAUUUCUGAAAAUGGUCUAAAGGAGAAAGGUGAUGACAAAAUCAGUGGACUGGAAGAUUUUUAGCCACACAGUAUCUGUGUUAAAACUCCUUGGCAGGUGUAAAUACAGCAGAGCUGCCAUUCACUACCAGCAGCUAUAAGUCAUGAAUGUACCGUAAUUCAUAAACCAGAUGAGCUUUGAUCUGCGAUCCUGAGGUUCCCAAAGGAUGACACACAGCAAUGGCACCUCCACUGAUGUUGUUUUUUUUCCCAACUCUUUUUCAACAGCCAGAUGCUGAGGUGCAAAUGCCUCCUUCACCUGUACCAAAUCCACAUUCGCAAGUGUUAGCUUUAGCACAGGGAGAAUGGUCUCUUUGGGUUCUUUCUGCAGUUUAGAGAGUCAGAUUCUUCUUAAUUAACAGCUUAUCUCAAAGUGCUUAUGCUUGAAUUGCUCGUGUUCUGAUCAGGCUUACUUAUAAUGGUAAUCACUGCAUGUAUUUAUAAUAAAAUGCAUCAAACCUAGCCCAUGGUCUGUUGACAUUUUUUCAUCCAGUAUCCAAAGAACCCCAUUGCCCUGUCAGAGAGCAGUCUUGCUAUCUUUCAUUAGCUUGUAGAGUCUGUUUGUUACACUGGUGAAAGUUUCUAUCUGAGUGUCAGCUGUAUACACCCAAUAUUAGUCUCACUUUUCUCAGCUACGAUUACAAACCCAGUAUGAGUGCUCCACAGACCCUAUUUUGAAAGCUUCUGCCGUAACUGGAAACGAGGCAGGAACCUGCCUAGGCUGUUCUGAGCCUGCCUGAAUCUUUCCAGAGCUAUUCCCAUCCCCAGUACGUAGAAGAGGCAUCCAGGAAUGCAGCAGUAUGUAUGUCUCUGUGUCCUGUGCCAAGGCUGAUUAGCAUUGAAAGUCAGGACAACUUUCCCUGCCUCGAGUUAUUUGUAACUUUCUCAUUUGCACCUUUCCUUUCUCUUCCAUCUCCUUGAUAAAGAAGAAGCCUUUGAUUUGCUUGUGAUCAUUUGUAUUUUAGAGAGCUUCAAGGAAUCCUAUCACGGAAUCUUCUUCCAUUUUGUUAUGGUGUUGAACUGUGAAGGUCUGGGCAGCAGCCAGCCACUGUCAAAUGAAAAAUGAAUUUUAAAAAGGCAAUAGGAUGCACACUAUUCCCUUCCACUAGGGAUAAACUGUGGAGUGGAGCAGGGAUUCAGCAGCUGUGCUGAGUACUGCCAGAGAAGACUGUGCUGUCGCUCUUUGUUUCUGAAAUGAAGGUGCUGCCAAGGCUGAUGUGUUGACCCUACCUAACAGUGAUUUUGUAGCAGUUAGAUUAUAAUGGUUGACAAAUGCCAAAUGAAAUAUAUUGUUGUAUUAUUUUGCUGUAGCAAUGUCUUUUUUGUUGGUUUAUGUAUGUAUGUAUUUAUUUAUUUUAAGAUUACUUGGUGUAGUUGGAAAAUUUGAGAAGCUUUUGGCCACAGUAUUCCUUCUAAAGAUCUCAGUGUAACAGAUAACUUUUGAUCAGGGAUUACGUCUUCAGUUCCCUGCAGGAAAAAGACUUAAAUGCCACAAUAUUUGUCUUAAAAAACUUCAAUAUCUUGAAGUUUUGCAGCAGGCUGAUGAAUCCAACAAAUACUUCGUUGUCUACUCACUUGCAUAUUUUCUGAGAAGAUUUCUUAGGCAUUAGCCAUGGGACAUCAGGAACUGAAGUGGUGACCUCCACUCUCAACAACAAAAGAUUUUAUCUUUAACCUAUCUUACCCACUGCUGGCCACACUGUUUCUGGUACAAAUCAGGAUGCCAUUAGCCAUCUGGGCACACUGCUGGCUCAUUAUCAGCCAGCACUCCCAGGCCCUUUUCUGCCAGGCAACUUUCCAACCACUCUGCCCUAAGUCUAUACUGCUUCCUGAGGUUGUUAUGACUCAAGUGUAGCACCUGGCAUUUUGCCUUCUUGAGUACUGUACAACUGGAUGUAGCCCAUCGAUCCAGCUUAUCCCAAUUCCUUUACAGAGCCUUCCUAUCCUAAAGCAGAUCAGUAGUGCCCUUCUCUUGAUUUUGCUCAAGUUUUGGGACUUUCUCACAUGUGAAUAUCAGUGCACAGCAGAUUGAGUUGUUAACAGGCGGCAAAGCACUACACCACCUCUCUGCUUGAACAAUUACAGAGCACUAUAUCAUGUCAGUUACCUUAGAAAAUACAGACAGCUACUUCUAGAAUACAGUAGAUAACAAGCUGCAGAUUCCCAGACUUCCUUACCUGUAUUUUAACUUUCUUGUGUGAAUAAAGAAAACAAAACAAAACAAAACAAGUGCUUGUUGAAGAAACUGGGGGCUUUUUGGGUAAAAAUUAAGCGUGCGGGAAUGACUGGGAAAAUCAGCCUUUCUGCUGUUUUUCAAUCUCUAACUGUAGGAUGCUACAAGUAAAACCAGUUCUUUGAUAAGAUUAGCUGCAUCCACUCUGUAGGAACACUUCUCAUAGGUGCAGUUCUGAAAAUCUGAAUGUAACACUAGCAGCCUAGAGCAUCCAGGGGCCAUUAGAGAAAUAUGUUCUGCUACUUACUGACUGGGCUUUUAUGCUGGAGCUGUGUGUUGGAAAUCCCCCUUUGGGGAAAUUCUGAGGCUGGGUAUAGUCUCAGAACUUAAUAAAAGUGUUUGUUUUAACUUGCUUUAAUCUUCAGAGAAAGCUGAGGGAAAUUCCAAAUGACUGAAACGAUACAGAGCAACCAAAGUCUUUGGACUCUAAAUCUGCUAGAGCCUUAGCUAGUUUUAUGUGUCUCAGUGUAAACAUUCUCAUAUCCCCAUGGAUGUAGGGACUAAUCAAGCAAGUCUGAGAUAUGUUCCUUCAAGUCAAUGAUUUGGAAGUAUAUCAUGAAGUUUUUUUCAUAGUUUGUAUGACCUACUGUAGGGCUGUAGAGUAAAGACUGAUGGCCUGUCCCCACACAGUUGCAGAUAUUUGAUUUUCUUGUUCUAAUGCCUGCUGUUCUUUCACAGAAUGAAAUUUAAUUUAGAAAAUAAAUAAUCUGAGAAACUUGGUAAGGUUUUAAAAUGUAGAUCUGAAACUUGGAAUAUUUUGACUAUGCUUUGUUUGCUGUUUGUUCAUGAUCUUGCUGAUGUGAUUCAUGUUUGCCUGGCCUCUUGCUUUUGCAUAGAGACUCCAGGUUGUCUGUGAUAUACCUGAAGACUGUUUGGCUCAUGAUUUAUUAAACUCAUCACAACUGGAUUUAUGUACUGGGAACUACAAGGCAAUCACAGUGAUAUCACCAAGAUUCUAACUGUUCUCUUCCUUUAGCCUACUACCAUUGCUAACGUUACAGCUCAGUUUCUCUAUCUGAUAAGGUACGUAUGACUGUACCUGUUCUACCCUGUAUUGUAAGUUGAUGCCCGAGAGAGAACUUAGCGAACCAAAAUAGAAAAUAAUAUGCAAAUUAGAAUUUGAAGAGCACAGAGGAUGUGAGUAUAAAUUUGAAGAAAUUAACUAACUUUCUAUGCAUCUGGACGAAGAGCGUGUGGCUGGAUGUGCUUAUUCUGUCUAUGCAAGUCUUCCUGCAGGUUGGUGUUUAAGCUAUACUUGUGUGAAUCGAGACCGCCAUCCCAUGGUUGCUCUCAGAUUUGUUCUCAGAGAGAUAAAUGGCUGUUACCCCCCGCCCACCUUUCUUUACAGGGUGGUUGUACUGAAACAAAAGACCACGUCCUUCAUAUAUUCAGUGCUGUGUUUUGACAUGCUGUGUAUUGAGUUAAACCUCUUCCCAGCUGCCAAAAACCUUCAACUUCACUUACCUAUGGCACGUAACUUUCAGUGCUCUGAAAAGUUAUCGAAGGGCAGGAGGGCACAGGAAAAGAAUAAAACAAAGAGAUUUUACAGCCAGACUACAGUGAACCUGCAGUAUAGUUAUACUGGUACCAUAAAGGAAUCAUUUUGGAUGCUGCUACUUUUGUUUGCCAAGGUAAAUGCUAUAGCAGAGCUAUGGCCAAAUGAAUUCCUGAAAGUAAUCUUUAUUUGGUAAAGAGACAAACUAUGAUGCUACAGUAAUUUUGUAUUGCAGUACUUCACUAUGCUGUAGUUUCUCACAGGGGAGGGUUGAAUACCUAAUGUUGUUUAGGGAGCCGUGAUAGCUUUUACAUUUUUACAGAUGCUUUCUAAAAUAAGCUAACAUCACCUGCUUGUUUUCCAAGCAUUCUCUGCAGAAUGGCUUUAGUGCACUCUUAACACAACAGUUUCUGUCUUCAGAAGGAAUCCUCAAAGUAAAUCCUGGCAAUGGGAGAGAAGGACAGAAUAGCUUUCUGUUUCUGAAAGGGAAAUAGCUGUUUGCUUGAGACUACUUACUGGUAUGUGUCCCACUUGAAAUGUUGAGUGCUCCUGCCAAGUUUUACAGGGUGUUUAUUUAAUAUGAGUUUCUGCUGAAUGUGUAAAUUUUCUUGACUACGUUGUGCCUGACAUAUCCAUAUGUGAAACUUAAGAGGGCUGGUCUGCACAGGAACAAUCCAUAAAUGUAAGGAAAUUGGCUGAACACAUAAAGUCAAUACACCUAAAUUACUCUAUCUUAAACUCUCCUGCGGAUAAUUUCUUUCUGGAGUAGAGUGAUUUCAUUUUAUUGCAUAGUAAGCCAAAAGGUAAAAUUACUUCACAACUGAAUGAGAACAUCCACGCUGUGUAACUGACUGUAAUUGAGGGUGUUUGCAAACAUCCUCUGGUUAAUCUACAUUCUGGUUAAACUGAGCUAAGAAACCUGCUUCCCAAAACAAACCGUCAUCAUUCAGAAGGCAAAGGCUGCUGCCUUUACCUAUACAGCCAGCUAUCUAAGGACUCUGUCCUGUUUCAGUACAAAUUUAGGCAAACCGCAUUAAUAAUUAUUAAUAACUAAGUCACAUAAUUUGCUUAGAAGCUUUGAAGAAGUGCUCUACUGGCUGAAUUGGUAGAAUAAUGUGCAUUAGGUGAUGUAGCAACUAUCAGCUGACAAAGCAGGAGAUAAAAAAUUUUGUGCUGCUGUGAAUGAAGGUGAUUUUCUUCAUUCUCCAUUGUUCUUUUGUUUUCACUAUCGCCGCGUGGUCCGAACCAGAACUGACAGCAUCCUCUCCUUAUCAUUUACCAAAAUUCCUUGAAACUCAUCUUGUUCAUUUCGCUUUGGGUUAUCUUGAAAAAUGCUAUUGCAAAUGUGAUUAACUGUGCUCCUAAAACGGAAUUCUUUUCUUCAGAAUAUGAUGUCAUUCUUCAGUGCUGCUUAGAUGUAGGAGAAUUAGAAGGACAUUGAGUGCAGUUAAUUCCAUUGAUUGUUAACAGCACAAAUGAUACAAUCUAUUUAUUGUAUUCUUCACCUGGUUCAUGGCCAUAGCCUUGCUUAAAUAUGGUAAUAUUUCUAACACCUACACCCAUCCAGUGAUCAGGAGCCAUUGUGCUUUAGGUCAAAAAUAGGUUCCCACAUCUGACAUCCUGAAUAUGUUGUUUAUUGUUGUUGUAUAUGAAGCAGGUACAGACAGGCCAGGACAAUAAUUACAUUUAUUAAUAGUCAAAUUUUAUCCAGAUAUGGAAUUUGUGAAUAUACAACAUUGCUUUAUUGACAUACCUUGUCAAGUGGUGAAAACUGUAAGUAUAAUGUCCUCACUGAAGAAGAUUGAACCAGUGAAUUAUUCUAUUAGUAGAGUACGUAAUUUUUGUACGGAUAAAGCACGUAUUUGAUUUCCUAUGCUUGAAAUCACAUUUUAAAAUACUAAUAUUGCAAUACAGCCAGUAGGUGGCGAUAGCCAUUUAAUUUAUUAAACUAUGGCAGCUCCCCAGCUCACGCUCUCGUGUUGGUACUCACGUUACCUUUGAGCCUUACAAAAAAAGAAAUUAAAAAAAUCACUCUUGAAGAGUCUUUCUGAGUGUACUCUCAACUUUAUAGUUGAAGGAUUUGCUGUGCAGGGAAAUGCAACAGCAUUUGUCGGAGCAGUGUCAGAGUCAUGUCAAUUUAAGCUCCAGUUUCCUGUUCUUCUAUAUAUUGACAGUAUUAGCUUAUUAUGAAUUUUUCCUUACAUUAUAUAUAUGUUUAUGAUGUAUUCUUUAGCAACUAGGAACAAAUGUUCCCAAGGCCUUUUUUUUCUGUGGCAUGUAUAUAUGCCUUUGUACUUAGACUGAGGGAGCCACUUGAAAGCUGUAGAUUGUAUGCAGAUACCCACUGGUAGUAUAGGUGCAAUAUCAUAUAAGAUAAAAAAUUAGAUUUAUUUUCUCUGAAUGAUACAGAAUGUUAUUAUUGGUAGGAUAUGAAGAAGAAAAGGCUUGUGUAUAGUUCUUAAAAGUGUUUAGAGUACAAUAGCAGUGAUAGUUGGGAGUCUGUUUAGGACAAAGCCAUGAGGGGUUUUCUCAGAUUAGUGAGACAUUACUCUUAUAAAAUGUUAUGCAAUGCUAUUUUGAUUAACUGUGUGUUAAAAAAAUCUAGUCCUUGACUUGUCAAUAGAUUGGUUUUGUUUUCUGCAAAUAGACAUCAGGUGGCUCUGCUGCUUGAACCAAAUGUUCAGCUUUAUCUUCAGCCAGAAAUUUAAUAUGAAAUGAGAGUGAAAGAGAACGUCCAUGAAAGAAGAGGAUAAACAGGAGGCAGAUGGUCCAUGUGUGUAACUUGCAUUGCCAAAUAGUGGAUUAAGAUGAUCUUUUUGAAUGCUACUUCACAACCUUAGAGCAACUGAGAGAAGUUAGGUUUCCAUUAGCUAUUGAAUGAGAAAAUUUAUUCCAGUCUUCAUAAGAACAUCUCCCAUUUCCUGAACUAGAGGAGAAGAUGCUAAUCUAAAGAGUGACCUAGAAGCAGUGUAAGUAGAGGGAAGCACAAAAGUGCCAUCUCCCUGCAUGGUUCUAUCAAACCCAUUUACCAUACUGAUCAGAGACUGAGUCAGAGCUAGAAAGCAGAUGAAAUUCACAGGAAAACCAUUUGAGCAGUCAAUAAUUUUGCAGUUCGCAACAAUGCAUUAGAACUGUUUCUUCAGCCACAGUGUUGUAGGAUGGUUCCCCUGACUGGAGGGCUAUGAUGAAUUGUGCUCUGUAUAACAAAGCAGCUCAGAUGCAAGGAGCUUUGCUAUGAAAAGGACAAGUCUGUCAGCAGUUUAUGGGAUCAGAAGGGAGGCCAUGAAGCAGACAUAGUGAUAGGAUUCUGCUACUGGUUGCCCAGACAAGAAGAGCAUAGCCUUCCUUAAACAACUGGAAUAAGUCCCAUAGGCCCUGCUUCUCAAAUGGAGUCUUGAAUCAUUCUGACAUCUGCUGGAUGGACAUCACAUCAGGGAACAGGUAGCUGAUGAGAUUUCUGGAGUACAUGGGGGACAAUUUUGUGGUUCACUUAGGUAGACUGACUAGAAGGGCUCCACUGACCUGACCUUCUGAAUAUGUAAGAGCUGGUACAGAAUGAGAAAGCUUGACAGCAGACUUGGCUACAGUGACCAUAAAAAGAUGUUAAAGGAAUUAAGGAAAGGGAAUAGUAGUCUGACAGCUUAGGACUUUGUGGGCUUUUUCGGGGAAUUAGCAGGAAGGAUCUCAUGAGAGGUUGAAGGGCAAAUAUGCCCAGGAGAACUGGCUAGACAUCAAGGAUAUUCUAUUUAAAUCAGAAUAAAGAAAGAAAGAAAGAGAGAGAGAGAGAGAGAGAGAAAGAAAGAAAGAAUGGAAAAGCAAAAGAUAGCCUAAGCGUAGAAAAGAAAUGGAUAGAAGCUAGUAGCUGGAAGCAGGGUCAAGCCACCUGUAAGAAAUUAGGAAGUAUCACCUGGGUAUACAAUGAGGACCUCGAAUGGGAUAGGCAGUCUUGUACCAAAGGAUACAAACAAGUUCAGUGUCAUCAUUGCCUUGGUUUUUACUAGCAAGCUCUCCUCUCAGAUUUAUCAGGCUCCUUUUGUUCAGUAGCAAAACUUGAGAGAAAGAGGUAUUACAAAUGGUAAAGGACAAUCAAGUUAGAAACUACUUAAACUGGAAGUACUGAAGGUGAUAGGCCUGGAUGGGAUUAAUGCAUUUCAAGGUGCUGAGGAAGUUGGCAGAUGUCAUUACCAGGUACCUCUCUUUUAUCAUCCAAACGUUAUGGUGAACACAGCUGUUGGAUGAGUUGAGAAAGAGAAAUGUCAUGCUCGUCUUCAGAAGUGGUAGAAGAGAUCUGGAAACCAAGGGGUGGUGAGCCUUACCUCAGCCUGUUAGAAUCAUAGAAUCAUAGAAUCGCUCAGGUUGGAAAAGAUGUUAAAGAUCAUCAAGUCCAACCACAACCUGACCAUAUUACCCUAACUCUAACAACCCUCCACUAAAUCAUGUCCCUGAGCACAACGUCCAAAUGGUUUUUGUAAACCUUUUCCAGUCACAUAAAGAGAAGAAAGGUAAAUGGAAAGUGCUAGUGUGGAUUUACUGUGCCUGGCAAUCCUGAUUACUUUCCAUGGUGAGAUGAUUGGUUCUAUGGAUAAGAGUAGUGCCUGUAGAUUACCUUGAUUCUAGCUAGAUCUUUGUUCUAGUUUGUUAGAAAUUCUUAUAGACAAACAGAAGAGGUAUGAACUGGACGGCUAGACUACGAAGCUAGUGAUAAACUGGCUGGAUUGUUUGGUUUGAGGUGUAGAGGUCAGUACUUAAAAGUUUAAAUGACAACCAGUUGAAGAUGCAUCCCUCAAGUGUUGAUGCUAGAGAAAUUGUUUUUUAACAUCUUCAUCAACAAUCUUGCUGAUGGGGUAGGAUUUUGCUUUCAUGAACAACACCAAACUGGAGUGAGCAAUUAAUACCCUGCAGGGCUGGGCUGUCACUUGGAGGAACUUUGACAGCUAGAGAAAUGGGGCUGGUAGAGACAUCAUGAAUAUAAACAAAGUCCUGCACCUGUGAUGGAGUUAUGUCAUGCAUCCACCGGGAUAACAGCUCUGCAGGAAGGCACGCUACAGGCAAGUUGAACACAAGGGAGCUUUGUACCCUUAGGUGAUGAAGACCAACCAUCUAUUGGGCUAAGGUAGUAAAAGUAUAUCAAUCAAGCUAAAGGUAGUGAUUAUUCAUGUUUCAUGUUUGACACCACAUUUGAAAUACCUUUCCUAGCUUCAGGUUCCUUGGUACCAGCAAGAUAUUGAUUGACAAAGCGUGAACAUACGCAUGAAAAACUGAUGAGCAGAUAAACUGAUUGUUUUGUCUGGAUAAGGGUAAGGGUCAAUGAGUCUAACUGCUAUCUGAGGAGGCUUAGGAAACUCCAUGCCAGAGGACUUUUUGAAACAACAUAUUUAACUUGAAGUUGGCUCUACUUUGAGUAGGAGAGGGCACUUGGUGAUCUUCAGAGGUCCCUUUCAAUACAUUUUCUUCUGUGAGUGAAUGAUUAUCUUAACAUGAGGCCUUAAUGCGAUUACUGGCAAGCUAGAUAUGUUUCAUAGAAAUCAUUAAAAUUAAAAAAAAAAAAAAAAGUGUAAUUCUUCAUCAAAGUCUCCAGGUAAUGAAGACAGUGAGCAGUCUGCAUUUAUUAAUCAUGCUUACCUAUAGCCAAAGCAGAAAAUAUUUCAAAUAUCUAUCAGUGCCCUGAGCACACUAAUGGCUUGAGGGUACUAAUGCCCUGUCCCUGUCCACUGCUGAGGCUCCCUCACAUGGCCAGGAUCACCACGUCAUCCCAGUGCCACUCACCCCUGCCCCAGUAAGGCAGCAGGGAUGGGCUCCAGCUCCCCACAACCCUGCCCUGCCUGACCAUAGUCUGAUGCAGUUUCCGAAGGGCCGUGAAGGUUGCCAUGAGCACCAAGAGUACUUUUUUGUUGUUGGAAUUUUAUUUUAUUUUUUACUUCUGCUGUUGUGGCUAUUUGAGUUUAUGUCAAUAGUUUAAAUGCAUGGUGGAGUAAGAAGUUGAACAUGGCUCUCCCGUGCCCUUUCUGAAGGUUUUAAACACUGAGCUGUAAAAUCAUUACGAAGGGAAAAGUAAAAUUAGUAUGCAAAGUUUCUUUCUCAGGACUAUACACAGUGAUUAUAUCCCUUUUACAUACUGCUAACACAGAGCUCAUAUGUAUACCAACGCUGUGGUAGAAAUUUGUCUUUGAUUGCGUUAAUUUCUUUUCAUUGAAAACUUUGGGCGUUUCUCAGAGAGAAAAACAUCUCAAAUAUAUUUAUGAGCUGGGGAUUUUCUUUCCCAGGCGGUUUGCCUUGCAGAAAAGAUGAUCUCAUUUGCUGAGCCAUGCUGCCAGCAUUCUUCCUUUUCAUGAAAGGAAAUUAUGGCUCCUGUGAAAGUGUCACAAAUGACACGGAGGGUUGGCAGCACAGAAUCAUUAUUGCUUGUUGAGUAAACAUUUUCAAGCAGAGAAUAAAUAAAUCCUCAUCAUAACUGAGGAUUUGGAGAGGGGUAAUAGAGAACUGUAUUAGGACAUUGUUAGCAUUUAAAUGUGCCUGUUACCAAGCUAUAGCAAAAUUAACUACCGUGACUACCAUUACACUGUCUUGCAACACUUGUCUUGUGCCCCCUCCCCGGCGCUCCUUGGCCCCCUAAUUUUUCCCACAGAGCUGGGUGGUGUUUCCCACCCGGCCUUUGCCCCCAGCAGCAAAGAGAGGCAUCUCUGUCUGCUGACUGAGCUCCCCAUAGCCCCUUCCAAACUUGCAGGGAAUUUCUCUGCACAAAGGGUGGCUCAGAGCUGGCAGGUGUGGGGUGCGGGUGGCUAGGAAUGGGGGGAAUGUGAUUAUGUGUCAGGGAGGUGCAGGAGGGGAAGGCUUCUCUUCUGCUGUGUGCUACAGGCUUCAUCACGUGCUGCUGACCUCAGCACAAGAUCAGCUCACAAUGUAAAGACCCCUACCUGUCUCAUUUUCAAAAGGUUUUAUUGAGUUUUACUACUCUGAUGGUAUUGGGUAUAUGUAAAUUUUAUAGAAGAGUCACAUGGUGACUCCUACAAUUGAAGUGACUUUUCUUUUAUUGUUCUUUUAUUUUCUGCCCAAAUGAACACGUUAUUUGGGAGUGUGCUAGUGACUGGUAUCUCUGACAGUAUGACAGUGAACUACUUGCCUGACCUUAAAACAGCGACUGCAUUAUGUUGGUACAAGUUCCUGCUAUACUGUUAGUGGUUUGCAUGCUUGAAUUCACACUUUGCAAGGCUUUGAAGAAGUGGCAGUUCACACAAGAUUGUAGGGGAUGAAAGAUGACCUUUAAAAGUCUCAGUGAAGCAGCACAGCAUACUUUCUAACUAGAAUGGAUGUUCAUACAGGCUGAUGACCUGGAGGUGAGAGCACAGAUUUUGUCUUGGGUGCUGGCUAGCAGAAAGAUCUUAGUGCAUGAGCUUUUUAUUUAGGAAUUCAUUUUUCUAGGGGGUCCUUAGGAAUGGAACAUCACUCUCCUUAAGGCGUGUCUGAAACUGCAGCUGUUCAUCCAGUUUAUUGCACUUCCGGAGGCCGAAAGUUUGCUUUUUGUAGCUUAGAAAACCUCUUUGUAGGUUUUCUAUGUCCGGCAGUUGACUGAUGGUCAUCGUUUUCUCCAUUGUCCCAUUAAUGCUCAAAGGCUUUAAUUUGGAGAUAUUUUAUUUUUUUAUUAUUUUAUCUUUAUAAGGAAAAACAAUGAUAGAGAGCUCAAGGCUGUACAUGUCUUUCUAAACUCAGUAGGACCAGUUUUCUGAACUCUAGCUCUGUCACCAAGAUCAUGGGCAGACUCUGGUCCAAAUUUCUUACAGCCAGCUCCCUCUAAAGCAUGUGUCCUGGAUUCAGGAAGAUGGAGUGUUGCAAACCAAAGCAGAGGAGGAGGCUGCCAUCUAAGCAGUGUGAAGUCCACUGCAUGAGCCUGCUCAUGGUUGUUUUUGUGUUGCUGUCUUUUUUAGUAUUUAUUUUUUUACAUAGCAGUGUCAACAGACCUUGAGAAAACAGACAAAAUACAUAUCACUUUUAUUCUGCCAAUACAUACAGAAUGCCACCUCUGGAUGUAUUUGUACUACUUUCAAGGCAGUGUACCUAGUAGAUGUCAAUACAAGCUCAGUUGGACUAUCCAUAAGAAAUGAUUAUUGUAUAAUUGUAGUAUUUUACACUGAAGGACUGGAGUGAUGGCUGCACUCAGUUUUUGAUAAAUGAAAACCUGCUGCACUAAAUGAGACGGUUAAUUCACCAAAGCAUGUUUACUGUGGAAUUCACACCCAACUGCAGCAUAUGUAUGUUACUAUUACAUAAUGAAUAAAUUAUUAUGAGCUGCGACCCCCAGAGGCAUCCAGGUGCCUGAGUGUCUCCCCUCCAGUGAGUGAACUGCAGCCACUUUGACUGGUGGUAGCUGGUGCUUAGCAUACCCAGCUCAGAAGUAAGUCUCCAGGCAUCCAUAAGAGGCUUUCCAGUAAACAAGAUAGCCCCUCUAAUGAUGAAUGAGUUCUUCUUUAUUCUUAUGGCUUGAGGUAUUUAUCUUCUUGCAUCAUUUUCUGAUUUCCAGUGCUAUAGUAAGACUGCUGUAAUUUGCAAUGUAAGAGUAGUGUGAAGCUCAGUUUGUUCUGUUUAAUAUAGUGUGUGGACUGAAAUUCAAGUAGAUAGCAAUAUUUCAAAGCAAAUAAAUACAUCUGUGUAAGUCAAGACAAAUGCUAAAGCAUAAUCAGUCUCAAAGUGAAGUAUAAUUUGACCAGUGAAUGAAUUCACCAAGCUGCUAGCAGUGAAGAAAUUGGAGUUCCUUGGCACACGAAAGAAGUUUAUUGCCUAGAGAUGAUAGUGCUUGUCUCCCUGUGGACUUGUGGGGUAAAGCCUCACAUCAGCCUCACAUAUGCUAAUAAAGAUCAAUAUUUCUUAUUUUCUCUUCUCAUAGUAAGGAAAUUAAUCCAUGGUGUUACUUUAGAAAAAUAACCCAAGUGGUAGAUUUGGGCAGAGAAAUUCUUACCUACACCUCAGUUUUAUUCCACAGGAAGCCUAGUGAUUACUGCUUUGCUAAUGCAUGAGCUUAUUUGGAAAAGCAGCUUUGAGCAUGCAUAUGAAAUGGUAGCCACCCUUUGCCACUGCAUGGGCCAUUCUACUCUCAGCCCUUUGUUUUAGUAAAUAUGUUCCCAGUGGGGCAAAAUUCUUGCCAAGCCUCUUAGAAGGUGUCCUUAUACCCAUACUUCAGUUUUCCACAUAGACUUUUUUUUUUUUCUUUUUCCCCUCAACUGUUUGUUGUUAAUACAGCUUCAGGUUUCCAUUAGUACAAUAUUUGAGUGUCUCAGUCUAAAGUGUGUUUAUUUUUUCAGGUCCACGUGAAACAGGGAAGGCUCUCUGAUAUUUCUUUUCAGGUCAUACUUUGGUGGGGAGAGAAUAGAAACACAGAGAAGCUCAGAUUCUACAAUACAGUGAGGUGCCAGACUCCUACGUGUCAGAAAUUCCUCCAUGUGUUGGAGGGUCUGAGCAUGGCUUGGUUCACAUCACAAAGCAAGUAUGUGGCAGACUGGGGAAUGCAGACAAUGAAUUGGCCUGCUGUGCCUCCAGUGAAAAUGGGCUUGGAGGGCACGCAUUUAAUGACCGUCCAGAAACAAGAAGCAAAGGCAGUGAGCAGGAGGGUUUGGAAAAGAGUGGUGCAUUUCUUACGUAGGGUCUUUACUGGAUCAAACUAAGGUGUGGCUGUACCUGUCAGCAUGAAUUGUUACUGCACUCGGAAGAGGCUGUUCAUUGGAAGAUACUCAAAUUAAAAACAGAGUCCUGUAUUUUCAAGAACUGCAGGGCAAAGGGAAAGAAUAUUCAUACCAAACAUUUUUAACAUACAUAUAUUGGUAUUAUUGGCCCUAGCUCCUGACUCAGUGACAAAAGCAUAUGUGCAUAAAGUGAUUUCUUUGAGGUAAAGGUCAUUGUUCAGUCUGCGCAUGCUGAAUGUCUUGUGUUAACCUUCUCUUUAAGCAUAAGAGCAGACCUGCCACAGUCUCCAUACAUCUUGCCUUUCCUUUUGAAUCACAAAGGAUUCACUUCACUUAUAACAGCCCGACUAAACGUGGUGCAAUUCCAACACUACAAUAUAUAUAUGUAUAUAUAUAUAAAAGAUGUAUCAAGUUUUUAAAAGAAACUUCUGGAAGCUUAAACAUAGGAAUGAAGGAAUGAAGACUCAGGGCUUUGUGCAAAGCCCCGGGGACAGCCUGCGACUUUGCUGGAACAAAAGUUUCACUAUAAAUACAUUGCGAAAAGCAAACAUAAUGUAGAUAGGUUCAUUGUAUUUCUCUUGCACCUUCUCGCUUUUGUUUAAGUUUAAACCAAUCUUUUGGAACUAUGAGUCAUUUUCAGAACAGAGAGUGAUUCAGGAGAUGUAAUCUUUGUGUUUUAUAGGCCAACAUCAUUAGAUAGGCCCUAUGCAAAUUAACAGAAGCGUUGCUGAACAGCAGUGACUGGCUUACCAUGUAUUUAUGGUUGCUUCUAACUCUCAGCCAGAAAACAUAAAUGUCUCUCUGGUGGAAACGUGUUUGGUGAGCAAUAACCCUCUCAGUUGGAGAAGAUCCAUCUGUCUUUCCUUCUACUUCAUGCAUCUUCACCACUGAAAAGAAGUUCAAGGAAAAUCAAGUUUCAGUUGUCAAAAAACCUGAUGCUUAAGAAUGAUUCUGUGAAAUAGACCAAAAAAAAGCAGCUGAAUAUUUUGUGGCUUAAUUUCAAGAUUCCCAUCGGUGCUAUAAAAAUACAAUUGAGUUUUAACUACUGCCUUCAUGCUAUCAAGAUGAUCCUGUAAAACUUAACUAUUUUGGUGUUUGCUAUUAUCUGAUUCUUUAGCAUGAAGUGGAAAGCAAAAGUAUUUUCCAAGAUUAUAUUAAUAUUUUCUUUCAGUUACAAGCUACAUCAAUUAAUUUCUUUAUAAACUCUACUAUAACAAGUUCCCACUGAUUCUUGGUUACUAUAAACAACAUCUGGGUACUGCACUGGUGCACAAGUUCUGUAAACACAUACUUUUAUAUCCAUCACAUCCUGAUGUUUCACAAGGAUAAAGCUGAUGUUCCCCUAAAAAAUAGAGAAGGCAGAUGCCUGUAGUGAUUUCACCGAAGUUACAACGUGAAGCAUGUGUGAUGUUAGGUACUUUACAGUACUUCUAAAGGGAGAAAGAAUGUGGCCGCAGAAAGGGAAUCCUGCCCGCAUGUUUGAUUCUUGAAAUGCACGUUAAAAGAUUUUUAUAUAUAAUAAAAGGCAAACAGUAAUAGAACCCCGCAGAUGGAGACAACUGUAGCACAGAGAGUGAAAAAUGUCUCACCGUCGGGCAGUGGCAGAACCAGCAAUGAAACACAAACCUCUUGCUCUGCUGGUUUACUCUCCAACUAAUUCACAUAAUAGGGGGUAGGGCUCUUUGCAGUGCUUCAGGCUGAUGGAGGUUACGCCUACAUAAAGUCCACACUUUUACCCUUGUACAAAGCCCCAAGCCCCUUUUACUUGCUUUUGGAGCCCUCCCAGAGACCCUGUAGCUCAGAGGGGAUCUGAGUGUGGGUCAAACAGCAGAUAACAGCUGAGAAGGGUUUUAAGAAAAGGUUUCUGGCUGCUUCUUGGCUGUUUGCUUCCCGGCUGAGGAGGGAGCCCAUCUGUGCAAGCCUUCCUCCUUCAUUUCAGUGCUGGCAGCGAGCUGCAGUCUCUGCUUAGGAGCAGUGCCACGAGCUGUGCCUUCCAGGAACAGGAGAGGAUGCAGCGUGCCCGUGUGGGUGUGUGGUGCACCCUUUGGGCCCCAGACGCAGGGACAAGACAAGCACAAAAGGGAGAGUAGGAAAAUGGAAUAUGCACAACUGGUUUAAUGCCAUGGGUUGUACACGUUUCUGAGACCAGCGUUUGCACUCAUUACGUGAUGUGCUUUCUCUUUAAUGGAAUUCUCUUAGACGUGCUGCUGAUAGGCUCUCUUCCCAUCUCUCCUUGAAUUCAAACAUUAUGGCUGAUUGAAAAAUAAGCAUGCAUUUUUCUGCUUUUUUCUUCUUUCGGUGUUUUUUUUUGGUCAGGUGGAAACAAUGAGGUGAACUCAUUUGUGACAGGCCCUUCUUCAGGCCUCUCCAACGUGGUCUGUAAUGAGGGCACAGUGGAAAUUCCACAAAGAAGCCCAGAAGCUUUUAAGUUUGGGCAACCGUGUUGUUGUCUGUGUUUUAUUCGCAUCAAUCAGGUUUUUUUCACACCCAUCUUAGCUUCUUAUUGGUACCACAAGUCAACGCUUGCUGGAAAACGCCACCCUUGGAAAACAACCUGUAACGUACGACUGCUGUCUCUUCGUGUAUUUUCUGCUCAGAUCUUAACAUGCGCUUCCUCUGAAGGCCACCAGCGAUAAUAUUCACUCCCUCUCCAGAACCACAAGUCUGAUUGUGGUGCCAUCCAUGUAACAGAAUGCUGUUGGUGUGUGCUGGUGUUCUCUGUUCAUGCACGUAAACCUGGGACUCCCAGGGAACUUAAGAAGCAUGAGCCUUGUUUGUGAAUCUCCAGAUGGGGGCAGACAUUGAGAUGCACGGCUAGAAUAUUAGGCUGGGAUUGAUUACCCCAGUUCAGCUGUCAGGGAGCAGAAAGAAUUAAACCAAAGUCUCCUGGAUCCCAGGAAAAUGGCAUUACCGAUACCUCAACAUUUGGAGCAUCACUCAACAGUGAGCCCUGUGGCUGACAGUGGAGAGCCCAGUUCUGCCAGAGUGCUGGAGAACAUCUACUGGGAAAUUCAGACCACCUGGGGAGGUAGCUCAGCAAGCAAGGAGGUCACGAGGGUGCAGAUCAAAGAAGGAAGUGGAUGUUUUCUCUGCCCUUGAUGGAGUGGCAUGUCUCAGCCAGAGAUCAAAGGAGAACUAAAUGUAAAGUGGAGGCUGCAGCAGGCUCCCUCUUACAGAUGCUGGUGAAAUUAUGCUGAUGUGUGGCUUCAUCAGUUAGAAUGAAAAUUCAAGUGCAGAAAAAAUGAAAGGUCAGCAGGUAAACUCCCUAGCACUAAUUGAACCCUCUGGGCAAGGACUGGCGGAGGCAUGGCCAGCACAACGCUUUCUAGACCUGGGUGUGCUACUUGUGAUGAAAUAAAUCAUUUGAUGGAUGCAGUUUGUUUCCUACCCACUAUGCAAGGCUAUCCAUGAUGACAGUCUCAUUUCAAAUGCAUUUCACAAAAAGGAGGUUACCUUUCUGAGGAAGCUGAACAAAUAUAAACCAGACAGGUAACUUCUAAUGACAUGAACAGAUGGGAAGACCAUAUCAAUAAAUUCUUA
rnacentral:lncRNA from 1 species